GCUAUAGGACAAGCCCAAAGCGAUGAGUCUAACGAUUCAGAGCUUGAAAGCCCUAUUCAAAAACCCUUCAAUAUCAACAGAUUGGGAAUCCAAUCCCCUAGAUUGACCUGGAAUACUCCUAGGAGUACUGCUCCAGAUCUAGGAAUUGAGAAUAGGAACAACAUCCUAACCCAGUCUAGAUUCAAUGCCUCCUCCGUCUAUGAAUGGAAUAUAGAUGGAAUGUCUGAGUACAAUAUCCUUGGUCUCUUGCAACAGAUGAC
rnacentral:lncRNA from 1 species